ensembl:rRNA 5S_rRNA 5S ribosomal RNA
GGUUACGGACAUACCAGCCGAAGAACGCCCGGUCUCGUCUGAUCUCGGAAGCUAAGAAGGCUUGGGCCUGGUUAGUACUUGGAUGGGAGACUGCCUGAGAAUACCAGGUGCUGUAAGCU